UGUUGACAGCCUUAAUGCCAACCAAGAUCACAAAUAAAUAAAUCAAAAUAAUAGUCAGAGAAUUCCAACCUUUUUUGUUUGAAAUAGUAGAUAUUUGCGGUAAGAACAAUGGUGGAAAGAGAGCUAAAAAAAGAGGGAAACUUGGAGAAAAAGGUGGAGAAAAACUAAACUAAAAAUAAACAAAACGAAAAAUGAAAAACUAAAUUAAAAUAAACAAAACGAAAAACUGUAGUAGUUUAGAAGAGGAGGAAGUGGAAAGAAAAGAAGCUUAUCCGAAUCUUUUUUUAUCUGAAGCUUACUGCAUCUAUAAACCUUGAAACCAACGAGUUCUGCUCUCCAUUCCCACCUUCUUCUGUCAUUCCACAAACCCACAAAAAAAGAGGUUUCUAAGUUUCUGCCACGUUUUUCCAUCUUCUUCCUCUCAACCUCCCCCACGUCCUCCCUCUCUUUCACAUAUGUAUCUCAUCGGAACAGGACGGCUGUGGAUGGUGGUUGUUCGGACAGAAUCGCAGAGGCGAGAGGAACGGUAGAGAGAAUCGUGUGUGAGUGGAGAAUGAGGAGAGAAUGAAAUCGUGGGUGAGAGGUGAUAUGGUACAAUAAACGAUGGGAAAGAAGAAAUUAGAGUUUAGGGUG
rnacentral:lncRNA from 1 species